GAUCAAGAAAACGCUUACGAUAAGAUGUGGUAGAUAAGCAUAUGCAAGAGUCUGGAUGACCAAGACUUUAACAGACUUCCGCCAAAUUUGAGCCCGCCAUCGACAACAUGAGCAGGAAAAGAGUGGCAAAGUGAUGAAAACGAAGAUCCUGAAGCUAAUACAGCCAGAAAAACGGAUAGUGACGAUUGAACUAAGGAAAAUAUAAAAUGCUGAAAUUAAAAGGAAGAAAAAAGAAAUUCAAGCCGAAAACAAGAAGAAAUAAAGAAGCAAUAAUAGACUCAAACCAGCAAUCUUUGCAAAUGCAAGAAUGUAGAACCCAGCAGUAAUUACGUGCCCGAGUCCUGCAGUUCGAAUGUUCCAGUACUCGUCGGCAACACUUCUGGACCUAGCAGUAUGCUUAAGACUACUACAUCAAUCAGCAACACACCUGUACCAGUCAGCAACUUGAAAGAACCCUGCUAUACUCGUGUGUCUGUGCCAUACAAUAACUCAGUUGUACUUAAUGGUCAAGAUGUGUUAACCUCUGUCAGCAACACCUCAGUACCUUGCAGUUAAAAUAAGCCUGUGCCAGUAAGCAACUCGAAAGAACCCUACUGUCAUACUCGUGUGCUUGUGCCAAAUAACAAAAUUUUGAAUGUAAUUCUUUGAGAUUUAUUUUUAAUCAACUGCUCUAAUAAUGAUGACUGUGCUAUUCAAAAUCUCAACACUCUUAGCCUAUGGUCUUUUCCCAAAGAUUGAGUGUUUGAUGAUUUGUGGAUUCAAAGGAGAGUAUAUAUAUACAUUAUUUGCUGUGGUUAGGAAUUACCAUAGUGCUUAACAGUAAUCUUAUUACAGUUUAUUUCUAGUCAUCAUGAUCUAUUGUUUUAAAAUAUUAAUUAAGCUCUGAUUUUAAUUGUAUAAUUUCAUUUUGAUUAUGUUUAUAACCUAAAUUCAAAUCUUUGUCAGAAAUUAAUCUGUUAUGUUAAUAAAUAUUUUGCUUUUUACAUAUCUAUUCGCAUGGGGGGAAAAUGGAUGCGCAUCGAUGGGCUGAUAUAAUUUUUUAUCUUUCUAUUUCAAAUUGGUAUAAUUGUCAAUUUUGUGAACUAUUACAUGGUAACUAUUGUAAGUUUCAUAUAAUGUCCAAAAAUUGUUACAGAUAUAGCACCCCCUUGUAAUUAACCUUUUACAAAUUUACUCUAUGGGACAUAAACUGACAAAUCAUUGGAAAAAAUUCAACUCUACUCCAUGAAAUGUAUUUGAAUUUUAAUAUCACAUGUAUAAUGUGUCUAUUUUUUAUCAUUUUAAAAAAAAAUUUGCAUCCUUAGGAUCAUUAUGAAUUUGUGUUAAUUACUUAUUGAACUACAUAUUACAUAUAUUAGAAAUAUUUAAAACUACUAUACAUCUGUAUAAUCUCCUUUGUUAGUUAUGUGAUUAUUAUUGAAUGUACUUGUCAACUGAUGAAAAAUUUAAGCUGUUACACAGGCAUAAUUAUGUAUUGUUAAAUACAGUUCCAAUUUUCAAAUACCUGUCAGUUAUUGUGUUCAUUAUUUUUUCAAUCUUGUAUUCCGUUAUAGGAGUUACUAAAUAUGCAGGCCACAAGUAGACUCCUGUAUGUAAUUUUUUUGCCUUGGCUGUUGAUGAGGCGUAUUUUCGCUAAAGACGUAUUUCCUUAUUGAGGCGUACUUUCUACAAUUGGAGGGUUUUUGUACGGGUGUAUUUUUGCUAGAGACGUAUUUCCUAGUUGAGGCGUAUUUUCUUUUUAAAGACGUACUUAUUAAUCUAGACGUACUAAUUUGCAUAAUUCAAGCUAAAUUACGCCAGUAUUUUUCAUAGGAUUUGUUGUUUUUUGUACGGGUGUAUUUUUGCUAGAGACGUAUUUCCUAGUUGAGGCGUAUUUUCUUUUUAAAGGCGUACUUAUUAAUCUAGACGUACUAAUUUGCAUAAUUCAAGCUAAAGUACGCCUCAGGUACGCCAGUAUUUUCCAUAGGAUUUGUUGUUAAAAAUCUAGCUGGACUUUCAGAAUUAUGGGUACGCCAGGAAAUUUUAAAAAUUACGUGAGCAAAUUUUCG